rnacentral:lncRNA from 1 species
UCCUGGCUGAGACAAAGUUGAUUCUUCAGAUGUGAAUGCACAAGAGAUGCACAAAACUUCAUUGUGUUUUCUCUAUUUAUAGAACUUGAAUCAGUGCAACACUGAAACCAAACCAAAACAUUUCGUACAGAACAAAGUGCCUUAAAAUUGCCUGCCUACACACUGACACAAAACCUUUCAAACUCUUAUUUCACAUAAUCCCCUGACGUAUAGACGGACCCUCUCCGGGGAACAGGUGGGUCUAUAUCUACACAGGCAGCUCAUCCUCAGCUUGCAAUCAUUCCCUGUAGGAGAAACAGAGAUUGUGAGAAUUUGUCCAGACGUGAAGAUGUUGGCAGUUGUGGUUGUGUUAUUCCUGGCAGCCGGCGUGAGCGACAGCGUGAUUUUGAGUAAAUGCGAGCUGAAGCAGCAGCUUGAAAGUGUCAUUACUCUGCCAAUUCCCAAUUCUGCAGACAUGCUGGCACAGAUCGUGUGUCACGUCCAGCUGACCUCUGGCUUCAAUACCAGUGCCAUUAAGACGAUCCCUGAGCCACAAGAGCGCAAUGGUGGUCACGGUUCUCGCCGUGGUAGGUCCCCCAGAGGAAAAAAUUCAGGCGACUCCUCCAGUUUGGAAAGUGACGAGGACAAAAGUGAGGUCUGGACUCUGUACGGCUUGUUCCAGCUUAGUGACCACGUGGUGUGCCGCUCUAUUCAAAGUCGUACACUGAACCUCUGUAGGCUGACCUGCGACAAGCUGAUUGACGAUGACACCAGUGAUGACAUCGCCUGUGUCCAGGCCCUUAUAAAUGCAGUAACUGCGCCGAUUCCUGACCGCAAAACUGCUAGACACAUCCGUGAAAUGUAAGUGAAUGAAACAAGAACCAAUUCAAUACAGCAAUUACUUGAAAACAUGAAUGAAUUUACUGUGUUUGCAUGAUGCAAGUAUAUUAAAAAUUGACACUGAGAUCUCUAACUCAGCUACUGUCACUGCUUGACUAAACCAGAUUUCUAAAAAUGAUACUUGAUUGUUUGACAGGAUCUCGCUGAUCCACCAGCCACAGUGCAUCGCCGUGAACGCCACUUCAUACUUCGCCGACUGUUAAACACCCUGAAUUCAAGACCUCUUGAUUUGAGUCCUGACCUCUUGUAGCUCCUUCUGUGCAUUUAUAUUCGUAGCUUUCUUGCAAGACAACAAAAUCCCAGCACAAGUAGCUUGUGUUUUGUAUACGAGUCAUUAAAACCAUUUUAAAAG